rnacentral:rRNA from 1 species
UACAGAGGUGGCAAGCGUUGUUCGGAAUUAUUGGGCGUAAAGGGCUCGUAGGCGGUCUGUCGCGUCGGGAGUGAAAACUCAGGGCUUAACCCUGAGCCUGCUUCCGAUACGGGCAGACUAGAGGUAUGCAGGGGAGAACGGAAUUCCUGGUGUAGCGGUGGAAUGCGCAGAUAUCAGGAGGAACACCGGUGGCGAAGGCGGUUCUCUGGGCAUUACCUGACGCUGAGGAGCGAAAGUGUGGGGAGCGAACAGG